ACUCUGCCUCAGGGAAGGCUGGAGCCAGCUGCAGAGGCUGCAUCACAUGGACAUACCUAAGGUGCUGACUUGUCUCCACAGCAUUCACCCUCAGGGUCUCAGCUGUGUGGUCAUUAACCCUGGAACUCUGCAUCGUGUUGGAUCUGGACCCCGUCCACUCCACGGACCGACCCUGAUCAAGCUUGUUGUUUCCUUCUUCCUUCCUAUUUGGGAACUUGAAACGGGGAAAAAAAGUUUCUUCUCUCUGAGCUCUUUCGGGUACACAAUGAACGGAAGAGCCCAGUCCUUCGGACUUUCGGUUUCACCUGUUCAGCCAGCAGUCUAGCAGGCCUGACUUCUGCAGCCAGCUAGAUAAGACUUCCGCUUACCAGGCAUGUCCACUGGCUUCCAGCUAUUGGAAAAGGUUCUCUCUCCAUCUUCUCAGACUGUAGACUGUACACUGCUCUUUCUUUGAAGCAAUCUAAGCAACUCCCCUGCAUGGUAGCUGGUUGAGGCAUAGCCUGAAGUGGUCCCUGGGGUGUCACCAAUGACACUUUGACAGAACUUCUAACAUGGGACAUUGAGCCUUUAAAAAUGGCUCAAGUCUUAGCUACAGGCGGUGCAAUGUGUCAUAAGACACCUCCUGAGCUUGAAGCCUGAAGCCAGAUAAAGCACAUUUACUUCAACAUGGGCGAAGGUGGUGAUUCGACCCAUAGGAGUUGUAAGUCUCAUGGCUACACCAUGCUCAUCUCUCACCCCUGGAAAUCUGAGUCUGGUGUCCACAGCCCUCCAUAUCAUAGCCUCGGAUUCUGGUCGGAGAAUACUGACCUAUCUAUGGAUAGUGGCUAACAGGACAGGUUCAACUUCUAUGACCUUCUACCUCACAUACCUAAAAGCAGGGGUAGGGGAGGCAUGGCGGCCAUGGUUGGGACAAAGAGCUCGCUCAAGUUAUUCAAAAACCUUCUGUCAGCUGUACCCCUUUACAGCCGUACCCAGCUCAAGCACUACAAACACUUUUAGGGGAGUAAUUUUAGAUUCUAAGAUGCUCCAAACACCAAAUAGGAAAGAUAUUUUUCUAACUUGGGCAUGUUAAACAACUCAUAGCGAUCUAUCCAAAGGGGCUGGGACCAUGACCAGGGAGGAGCCAUUACGCCAGACAGAAGUAAUUGCCAGGGACCUGGAACACACAGCCUCCUGUCCCUGAGAGGCUGCGUGAGGAACCCCAGCCAGCUGGCUCCAACAUUUCCAGUCAUCUGCUUGUACUUCAGCCAUGUGGAUUCUUACUGAAAAGCCUGAGAUUUCUCAAACCCCCCCCCCCCAAAAAAAAAAAAAACCCAUCC
rnacentral:lncRNA from 1 species